AGAGUUUGAUCUGGCUCAGGACGAACGCUGGCGGUGUGCUUCACACAUGCAAGUCGAACGAGGUAGCAAUACCUAGUGGCGGACGGGUGAGUAACGCGUGGGAAUCUGCCUUUAGAUGGGGGAUAACGGGUCGAAAGACUCGCUAAUACCGCAUAUGACGAAAGUUGAAAGGAGUAAAUCCGUCUAAAGAUGAGCCCGCGUCCGAUUAGCUAGUUGGUAGAGUAAAAGCCUACCAAGGCGACGAUCGGUAGCUGGUCUGAGAGGAUGAUCAGCCACAAUGGGACUGAGACACGGCCCAUACUCCUACGGGAGGCAGCAGUGGGGAAUUUUACGCAAUGGGCGAAAGCCUGACGUAGCGACACCGCGUGAGCGAAGAAGCCCCUUGGGGUGUAAAGCUCUGUCAGCUGGAACGAAAAAAAUGACGGUACCAGCAGAGGAAGCAUCGGCUAACUACGUG
rnacentral:rRNA from 1 species